UUGGAGAAGAUGCUUUCGAGAAGGAUAAAGCCGCAUACAAGAUAUGAAAAGAUGACAGUGUGACUGUCAAAUAUAUCAUGCUUACCUUAAUGAGCAAUGAGCUCUAGAGACAACAUGAGUAUAUGGACGUUCCCUCUAUUCUCCUUAAUUUUAAAGAGCUAUAUGGGGAACAAAGUCAGACUGCUCGAUAUGAGAUAUCGAAGUAAUUAUUCUGUGCUCGUAUGACUG
rnacentral:lncRNA from 1 species